GCGACCGGGGCCCGCGGUGCGUUUUGCGCGUCGCGGCUCCUCAAAACCAAGCACGUCCGACAAACGUUAUUGUCUGCGGCGGAGAGGGGUUUCCAGCCUCGCUUCCCACCGCUGGAGCUGGCUGCGACCGAGGACGAACACGGCUGCUACUCUGAAACCUGUCAGCGAGCGAAAGGUGUCUUAUGUUCGACAUCAGAUACAUGGUGAUGGAUGUCUUGAAGGAAAGCUGUGACUGGAAGUAGACCAGCAGAACCAGUGUGCUUACCACGAAGGAAUACAUCAGUGGCAUUAUAUAAUCUGGUAUGCAAGGAGUUCAGAAGUCUGCAGAAUUGGGGUACUGCAGAAUAGCACCUGCAGAGGUCAGUACAGCCUGGGUAAGCAGCAUAGUGAUGUUAAAGAAGCCAUCAGGCACAUUACAAAUCUACACAUAUACAAAGUCAAUGUUCUGGGCAUUGAAAGAUGUUACUGUAUCCACAGCUUACAAGUGAUGACAUCUUGCCAAAACUUUCCAAAGCCAGACUCUGUAGGGUCUGUGAUGUGUGGAACAUGGUUUUGUCGUAUAAGCCUGGAUAGAGUCCUGCAUGCUGACAACCUUUGCAACACCAUUUGGUCACUACAGAUGGCUGUGCAUGCUGAUGGGGAUAAACCCAGCACCACAGAUAGAAUCAUAGAAUCAUAGAAUAUCAGGGUUGGAAGGGACCCCAGAAGGUCAUCUAGUCCAACCCCCUGC